rnacentral:rRNA from 1 species
CGAGAAUUUUUCACAAUGGGCGAAAGCCUGACCCAGCGACGCCGCGUGAGGGAUGAAGGCCUUCGGGUCGUAAACCUCUGUCGGAAGGGAAGAAAGGUUCUCGAGCGAAUAGGUCGAGAGCUUGACGGUACCUUCAAAGGAAGCGCCGGCUAACUCCGUGCCAGCAGCCGCGGUAAUACGGAGGGUGCAAGCGUUAUCCGGAUUCACUGGGUUUAAAGGGUGCGUAGGCGGGCAUAUAAGUCAGUGGUGAAAUCCCCGAGCUUAACUUGGGAACUGCCGUUGAUACUAUGUGUCUUGAAUAUCGCGGAGGUAAGCGGAAUAUGUCAUGUAGCGGUGAAAUGCAUAGAUAUGACAUAGAACACCGAUUGCGAAGGCAGCUUACUACACGAUCAUUGACGCUGAGGCACGAAAGCGUGGGGAGCAAA